CAUGAAUUUUUAUGGAGGAGAAAUUAUUCCAUAUCAUACUAUAAGGGCGAUGAUAUAUGUAUAUAUGUAAUAUAUAUAAUAUAUGAUACUACGAAUUUAUCAAGACCUAUUUAACUUUUGUAUCUGAAUAUAUAUGUAAAUUAAAAAAAAACAUGAUGAUGUUUUCCAGACUGUUAUGCAAAAUGUGACUAAAUAAUUUUAACUGGAUUGCAAAUUCAUUAUACAACCUCACUAAAUGGGGUGGGUAUACAGGUGUCAAUCUACUUAAUUUUGGAAGUCAGGGGAGUCUGAAAGACUAAAGACAAAAGGAAUGACCCCAAACCAACCUACUCUAGCAAGUAAAUUUUUUUCCCAUAAAUAUACACAUUAAAAAUUCUGAAACCUCUAAUUAAACAAAUAAGUAGCUUGCAGAUUAUAAGAG
rnacentral:lncRNA from 1 species